UCGCUGACGAGUGGCGGACGGGUGAGUAAUGUCUGGGAAACUGCCUGAUGGAGGGGGAUAACUACUGGAAACGGUAGCUAAUACCGCAUAACGUCGCAAGACCAAAGAGGGGGACCUUCGGGCCUCUUGCCAUCGGAUGUGCCCAGAUGGGAUUAGCUAGUAGGUGGGGUAACGGCUCACCUAGGCGACGAUCCCUAGCUGGUCUGAGAGGAUGACCAGCCACACUGGAACUGAGACACGGUCCAGACUCCUACGGGAGGCAGCAGUGGGGAAUAUUGCACAAUGGGCGCAAGCCUGAUGCAGCCAUGCCGCGUGUAUGAAGAAGGCCUUCGGGUUGUAAAGUACUUUCAGCGGGGAGGAAGGGAGUAAAGUUAAUACCUUUGCUCAUUGACGUUACCCGCAGAAGAAGCACCGGCUAACUCCGUGCCAGCAGCCGCGGUAAUACGGAGGGUGCAAGCGUUAAUCGGAAUUACUGGGCGUAAAGCGCACGCAGGCGGUUUGUUAAGUCAGAUGUGAAAUCCCCGGGCUCAACCUGGGAACUGCAUCUGAUACUGGCAAGCUUGAGUCUCGUAGAGGGGGGUAGAAUUCCAGGUGUAGCGGUGAAAUGCGUAGAGAUCUGGAGGAAUACCGGUGGCGAAGGCGGCCCCCUGGACGAAGACUGACGCUCAGGUGCGAAAGCGUGGGGAGCAAACAGGAUUAGAUACCCUGAUAGUCCACGCCGUAAACGAUGUCGACUUGGAGGGUUGUGCCCUUGAGCGUGCUUCCGGAGCUAACGCGUUAAGUCGACCGCCUGGGAGUACGGCC
rnacentral:rRNA from 1 species